rnacentral:rRNA from 1 species
UGGGCCGGUUUCUUUCGUAGGCGUCUUUCCAGACGGGUUCGACGGUGAGGGACGAAAGCUGGGGGCACGAACCGGAUUAGAUACCCGGGUAGUCCCAGCCGUAAACGAUGCUCGCUAGGUGUCAGGCAUGGCGCGACCGUGUCUGGUGCCGCAGGGAAGCCGUGAAGCGAGCCACCUGGGAAGUACGGCCGCAAGGCUGAAACUUAAAGGAAUUGGCGGGGGAGCACAACAACGGGUGGAGCCUGCGGUUUAAUUGGACUCAACGCCGGACAACUCACCGGGGACGACAGCAAAAUGUAGGCCAGGCUGAAGACCUUGCCUGAAUCGCUGAGAGGAGGUGCAUGGCCGUCGCCAGUUCGUACUGUGAAAGCAUCCUUGUUAAGUCAGGCAAACGAGCGAGAACCCAAUA